rnacentral:piRNA from 1 species
CAUGGAGUUGGGCUAGUUUUGUCCUCUGGG